CACUCUCCUGCGGAGGAUGCCCUACAGGCAUUACAUCCCUCCCAGCCUCUGUCCUUCAGGCCCUGCCCUCCCUGUCCCCUACCCUGGUCCCGUUUCUCUCUAGCCCAGGAAGGACACCCGAGCAGUUCGCUCUGCCCUGCCGGCUGCUGGUCCACUCCCACCGGGGCAGUGCUGCCCUACCUCCCCAGGCCCUCGUGGGACCUCAGUGUGGUCUAUUCCGACUUUUACCCCCACUCUCACCCCAGGAACAGGGAGAGAAAGGGUGAGCGGAAUACAGAAGCCCACAACAAAACUCCACCCACUGCAGCCACCUCUCUUGUUCGGAAAUGAAUUUUGGCAAGAGAUUAGUUCCUAAUCUGAUCUAACGCUGCUGACAUUUGGGAAGAAGAUGAAAAUGGCAGCUCAAUUUCAUUCUGAAACGGGGUCACUUCUCAGGGCUCUGCUCCCCAGAGAAUGUGGUGCCCCUCCCCCCCAAGCAGAGGAGCUGCGUGGAGCUGGAGGGGCAGGCAUGGCCUGGACCGCCCACCCCCAGGUCAGCGGCUGCCCUGAGGCUUGACCCGCAACCUGCCCCUAACCCUGUUUGAAUGGUGGGGGUGGAAGGAGGCUGUCUGGGCUGGGGCUACUUCCUGGGUCCUCCCCUACCUGCCUUCAGGGCACCGUGCUCGGGCAGAGGUGACAGGGGUCCUGGGCCCCCAUCAAGGACUCUAGGCUAGAGAGCCUCUUUCUUGUAGAAAGUUUCAGGAGUCACACUAGACAGUGAGGCAAUCAAAGCGAGGUGUCCCCAAGGCCUGCUAGGUGCUUUCCCUUGUGCUCCCUUGGGCAAGUAAAAGCACACCUCACCUCGAGGCUGGGUGGUUGGUCUCGGCUGAGGGUCUGGCUUAUGUAGAAGCCACAGAUCUGGAGAUAGCCUCUCUGGCACUUGGCCUGGCCCUGUGAAGCUGCAAAGUCCUGGUACGUAGGAGCCAGGACUUCCCUUCUUCCCCAGACACCUGCACACCCCCUGCAGACUUAAAGAGGUGGUGGGCCAGUGCCCAGCCCUCAGCUGGGACUGCCCUGGCAGUGGCCUCAUCCUGGGUCAGGUAAGAGAGGGCAGGUGGAGUCAGGUGUUAGGGAACAUGUCUGGUCACUGGAUUCUGUUCUUGAGGGAUCAGGCACUUCUGAGGCCCUGCCCAUGGCGUACAGGCCUGGGAUGGGGGUUGAAGGCACCAUCAUCGUCAACCCAAGCUAAGGCUGAGCAGAAGCGUCUGUGCCUGGGUUCCUGGGAGUGAGCGUGCUAAUGAAGAGAGUUCUGUGCUUGCGUUUGGCCUUGGACCUUGCAUGCUGGUGGCUGCAUGUGCAUGAGCAGCUGUACGUGAAUGUGCUUAUACAGCCUGCACCUUUGAGCAUGUAGAUCACAUACGUGUUUGUGGAAGUGUGGACACGGCCAUGGAGGGCAGGGCUACUGGAGCCCACACUGUGUCUUUGUGCAGCUUAGAAAAAGGUAUCCCUUCUUCUGGGUGGAUGGUUGCCCUGUUCACCUGGUGAGUGAAAUGUGAGCUGGAUUUCAGCAAAGCACUCCUGCCCCCCAUCCCCGUGGCCAGACUUCUUGUCACAGAAGUGCAAAAUCUGUAGUCCAUAAGUUGGAACUGUGGUGGAGAUGUCUGCUGGGCGUGAUGUCAUUGACGGUGCCUGUAUCACUGAGGAUCAGCUACAUUCGGAGCAGUCCCUCCUUCACUGGUGUGCAGCCCCUCCCACAGUGUUGGCAUCUGAAUAGCAUCAGCCACCAGCCACCGCCAUCUGCCACCUUCAGAGUUCCUGUGCAUCGUCGUGCAAAGUUCUUCCAGCACCUGGACACUCCUCUGCAGAUGCAACUCUGUACCUCUUGGAUGCCUAAUGUCCCCUUUGCAAUGGGGUUUCCAGAAUGGAGCACCAAAAUCCAGGUGGUCCCCUCCAGUUCCGAGUAGAACAGGACUCUGCUAUCCCUUGCUCUAGCCCACUGUACUUCUGUUAAUGAAGUCCAAGAUGGCAUUGGCUUUUUUGGCAGCCAAGGGUCGUACAAAGUUACAGAAGCUGGCCAGUCCAGCUUCACCCAUCAUGGAGGAAUCUCACAGAAGGCCCCACUCGUGGUCCUGCAGCCUACAUUUGGAUGUUUCCAGUGCUGGGAAGCUUACUGUCUCCCCAAGUUGCCUUGUGUCUUCUGAAACAGUUUUGAAUUUUAGGGUUUUCCUUGAGCUCUGAAGAACAAGUCUUAUCUCUCUGGAGUUUAACUGGAGUCUAACCAGUUGUUUGAAGUACUCCCCCCUUGGCUGCUCCCUCCCCCAUUAUUAUGGGAAAAAUGCAAACUUAUACAACAGAAGAAUGAACAGUGUAAUGCAUUCAUCUCUCGUCUUCAGUAAUUAUGGGUUGAAGUGUGUCCUUCUCCCAUCCAAAUUCAUAUGUUGAAAUACUACCCUCUAGGACCUCAGAAUGUGACCUUAUUUGGAGAUAGGUCUUUACAGAGGUGAUCAAAUUAAAAGGAGGUAGAGUGGGCCUUAAUUAAUUAUGACUGGUGACCUUGCAAGAAGAGGAAGUUUGGACACAGACAGGCACAGAGGGAAGAUGACUUGAAGGCUCAAGGGGAAGACGGCCAUCUAUAAACCCAGGCCUGGAAUAGUGCCCUUCAUCUAGGAUUUCCAGCCUCCAGAACUGUGAGACAGUGAGUUUCUAUUGUUUAGAUCACGCAGUGUGUGGUGCUUUGUUACAGCAGCCUAGCAAGCUCAUACAGAUGAUCAAAUCAAGGUCAAUCUGGUUCCAUCUAUUCUUCCUAGGAUCUCCCCAUUCCAGGCUAUUUUGAAGGAAAUUCCAGACGUUAUAUCUUUUCCCCAAUAACAAUUUUAGGAUGUAUCUCUAAAAGGAUUCUUUUAAAAGUUCAAUCACAAUACCACGAUUCUUUACUAAUUCUGUCCAUGAGGUGAUGGACCAUGAGGUGAGUAGACACACGUGUGGUGACUCAUGCCUGGGCAGCCUGGGCUCUGGGCUCUGGGCUCUGCUCAGAAUCCAGCCUCCACUGUCCCUGAAUACGAGAUCCUUGUCAGAUCCAGGUAGACUGGACGUUCCAGCUAUAGACCUGGGAACGAGGCUCUUCCACUGGGUGGAGCUUGGUGGGGCCACCCACUUCUAACCGUCCCACCCUGCCCAGCUCCCUCGACCAGGUACAAGGCAGGAACACUUGUAGGGCCUGUGGGUCUCAUUUAACCCAAUGUUCUCAGAAACUUCCAGAAACAUUCCUAAAAGCAGCACAUGCUUAGUAGACCUAAAAAUACAUAUGCAAUCCUUCUAGGGGCCAGGAGGGGUGAGGACAUGGGAAAAACCAACCAGACCCAGAUGGAAGAUCUGUUACACCUGCCUGGAAACCUCUAAAAUAGAAAGAACUGAAUCAAAAUGAAUGAAUAACAUGAAUGAAUAAAAACCAUUUUAAGA